CUAUGAAGAUGAAGCAUGCUGCUAGAAUGGGAGUUCCCUGAGGAAGGGGAUAAUAGCAGCACACACGCAGGAUUGUUGAGGAACGAAGGACUGGAUAUUUCUGAAGGACCUAGAGCGGUGUAGGCACUAGGAGGUAUAUUUCUAUUGGAAAGUACUGUGAAAGCCAUUAUGAGGAAAAUUUUGCUGUGUUUUGUGUUUGAAGAUUGCCUGCUGUUUUUGAUCAACAUGGGGGAUCAAAGAUCUCAUCAAGGCAAGGUCUCUCAAAGACUGGAGAAAAAGAAGCAGUAAGCGAGAGUGUUCUCAUGGCAGACUGCAGAGCAGAGAGCAGUAGUGGGCAGUUGACAGAGGAGGUGGAAGGACCUGGAGGCAUCGUGGACAAUGUUCCUUAGCAGCGGAAAGAUGCAUGGAACUCUACCAAUCCCAUCUUACCUGUAAGAGUUAUAAACU